AGCGAACGCUGGCGGCAGGCCUAACACAUGCAAGUCGAGCGCCCCGUAAGGGGAGCGGCAGACGGGAGAGUAACACGUGGGAACGUGCCCUUCAGUUCGGAACAACCCAGGGAAACUUGGGCUAAUACCGGAUACGUCCGUAAGGAGAAAGAUUUAUCGCUGAAGGAGCGGCCCGCGUCUGAUUAGCUAGUUGGUGGGGUAACGGCCCACCAAGGCGACGAUCAGUAGCUGGUCUGAGAGGAUGAUCAGCCUCACUGGGACUGAGACACGGCCCAGACUCCUACGGGAGGCAGCAGUGGGGAAUAUUGGACAAUGGGCGCAAGCCUGAUCCAGCCAUGCCGCGUGGGUGAUGAAGGCCCUAGGGUCGUAAAGCCCUUUCGGCGGGGAAGAUAAUGACGGUACCCGCAGAAGAAGCCCCGGCUAACUUCGUGCCAGCCGCCGCCGUAA
rnacentral:rRNA from 1 species